UACAGAGGUCUCAAGCGUUGUUCGGAUUCAUUGGGCGUAAAGGGUGUGUAGGUGGCGCGCUAAGUCGGGUGUGAAAUUUCGGAGCUUAACUCCGGAAACUGCAUUCGAUAACUGGCGUGCUUGAGGACUGGAGAGGAGUACUGGAAUUCAUGGUGGUAGCAGUGAAAUGCGUAGAGAUCAAUGAGGAAGACCAGUGGCGAAGG
rnacentral:rRNA from 1 species